UAAAUUGAAGCCAGAUGUUAAGGCACUUAGCUGUUAACUAAGAAUUAAGGGGAAAGAUAUCCCCCAGUUUAG
rnacentral:tRNA from 1 species